UACGUAGGUGACAAGCGUUGUCCGGAUUUAUUGGGCGUAAAGAGCUCGUAGGCGGCUUGUCGCGUCGUCUGUGAAAUCCCGCGGCUCAACUGCGGGCUGGCAGUCGAUACGGGCAGGCUGGAGUUCGGUAGGGGAGACUGGAAUUCCCGGUGUAGCGGUGAAAUGCGCAGAUAUCAGGAGGAACACCGGUGGCGAAGGCGGGUCUCUGGGCCGUAACUGACGCUGAGGAGCGAAAGCAUGGGGAGCGAACAGG
rnacentral:rRNA from 1 species